UGUAGUUAACAAAUGGUUAGUUUAAAACACAAUAUUUCUCUCUAUAUAAGUAUUCCUAUCUCUUAUUUUACAGCUUUGAUUCCUCACCAUCUACCUCUGUCUUUCCAUGGUUUCAAUCCUCCGAUCAUGCCUUCCUGGCCUAAAAUACAGUAUAAGGCUUUCCCAUACCCAAGAUCCUCUAAUGCUGGUGUUAGUCUGCUAAGAUUUAAAA
rnacentral:lncRNA from 1 species